AGUGGAGCAGAUUACUAUGACUAUGGCCAUGGACUGAGUGAAGAAACAUAUGACUCUUAUGGGCAAGAAGAAUGGACCAAUUCAAGACACAAGGCACCUUCUGCAAGGACAACAAAAGGAGUCUACAGAGACCAGCCAUAUGCCAGAUACUGAUUGUACUGUCUGAUGUUGUGAAAUAUCCAAUCUCCACCAGUCCUGUAUACUGUUCAAAGUAAUUUUUUCUAUGAACAAUCCCUUUUUAUUAAAUCAAAGCGCUUAAAAAUCUGAAUGGAUGGACUGAACUUAAAAUAUUUUGUUGAAAGAACAACCUGGACAUAAAGAUAUGUAAAACAAGGAACUUUGUUAUUUCCAAACUGUAACUGAAAAAAUAGGUGAUCAAAAAAAUAACCUUUGAUUAACUAGUGUUAAACAAAAAUAGGUUUACUAAAUAUGCUAGUCCAUUCUUUUAACAUAAGCGUAACCUUUUAUUUUAAAGGUUUUCAACAAUUUAGUUUUUAGUUUUUAUUUUCAGCCAUUUGCUAGCUUUUCUCUUUGCAGACAUGCGUAAAAAGGGAAGCAAAUUACAAAUGCAAAUAAUGUGGUAUUUUGUAAUUCAAGUCUUGAAAUGUUCUGUAGUGUUAAGCAAAGUUUUACCCUUGCUUGAUACUAAAUAAACUUUUGAAAGAAAA